ensembl:lncRNA
UGGAACUGGGUCCAAAGAGUCAGCACCGGUUCAGCGGGACAUCCUGCACUCCUCUCCCAGUUCAGAGGGGUUCUCAGCGGAAGAAACACCUCGAGAGGAGAGUCCAGUUCAAAAUACAAAGUUCCCACAUAUACCACGACCAUCUAUCAUCAGAUCACCACAGGAACAGGCGUGUCCUCUCCAGGAAGUGCAUGCAGACUGCAAAGAUUAUAUAGAGACAGAGGAUGGACCGUUAUCAGGUACAGAAGAAACGCACACAUACACACACACAAGGACACAUAUAUAUACACGGACACACACAUUCUCAUUAGCUGGAGAAAAUUCCAUGGCCAGAGGCUGGACAGUUAUCAAGAAAGAAAAAAAACAUAGAUUUCCUCUCUUCCUUUUCCUACACACACACACACACACACACACUCUAAGGAGAAAAAGAGCAGUAGUUGUGUAGUGUCAGUGGAAAAUAUAAGCUCAUGCUGUCAGAAAGUGGGUUAUCUCGAGGAUAAUAGUGGAUUUAGUAUAUCUUAUUGUCAUUCAUGUGCUACAGUUGUCCAGUCCUGAUAAACAAGAGGAAACUUUCGGAUUAUAGGAUUUUAGGAACACGGUGUACUAAUCACCAUCUCUCUGGCUGUCUCUUUUGUAAUCUUUCUAGCCCCGGAUGGACCUGCAGGGCUAGAUUUAUU